CAAGUGUGUGGGGCAGGGAAAUGUGUGGGGCAGGGGGGGUGUGGGGCUCAGAACACACGUGUGGGGCAGGGUUGGGGGGCUGUGGGGCUGGAGGUUGUGGGGCUCAGCUCAGAACAUACGUGUGGGGCAGGGAAAUGUGUGGGGCAGGGGGCUGUGGGGCUUGCAAAAAAUGUGUGGGGCAGAGAAAUGUGUGGGGCUCAGAACAUACGUGUGGGGCAGGGUCGGGGGGCACUGCUGUGGGGCUCCUAACUUGUGGGGCAGGGAAAUGUGUGGGGCAGGGGCUGUGGGGCUCAGAACACGCGUGUGGGGCAGGGUUGGGGGGCUGUGGGGCUGGAGGUUGUGGGGCUCAGCUCAGAACAUACGUGUGGGGCAGGGAAAUGUGUGGGGCAGGGACGUGUGUCACGGGCCCCACACGCGUGUCGGAGGCCUGGAGCGUGUGAUGUGGGUCCCACCCGCGUGGCACGGGCCCCACACGUAUGUUCCAGGCCCCACACGCGUGUCAUGGCCCCCACAUGUAUGUUCCAGGUCUCGGUCACGCGUGUCCUGGGCCCCACACGUAUGUUCCGGGCCCCACACGUAUGUUGUACGCCUCGGUCACGUGUGUCCUGGGCCCCACACGUGUGUAACAGGCCCCACAUGUAUGUUCCAGGGCUUGGACACGCGUGUUGUGGCGCUUGGACACGUGUCCUGGGCCCCACACGCGUGUCACGGGCCCCACAUGUAUGUUCCAGGCCUCAGACAUGUGUGUCCUGGGCCCCACACGUCUGUUCCGGCCUCGGUCACGCGUGUCCCGUGUCCCCUCACACGCGUGUCCCGUGUUCCCUCUGUCUGUCCCAGCCCCUCCCCCCCAAUAAACACGUGUCACGGGCCCCACACGCGUGUCAUGGAAUUAACGUGUAUGUUCCAGGCUUGGGUCACGUGUGUCACAGGCUCUACACGCGUGUCAUGGGCCUUACAUGUAUGACCUAGACCUUGCUCCCGCGUGUCGUGGGCCCCACAUGUAUGUUCCAGGUCUCGGACACGUGUGUCAUGGGCCCUACACGCGUGUCAUGGAUUUAACAUGUAUGUUCCAGGUCUUGGACACGCGUGUUGUGGGUCUUAGACACAUGUCCCGGGCUGUACACGCGUGUAAUGGGCCCCACACGUAUGUUCCAGGCCCCACACGCGUGUCAUGGCCCCCACAUGUAUGUUCCAGGCCUCGAACAUGCGUGUUGUGGGGCUUGGACACGUGUCCUGGGCCGUACACGCGUGUCACGGGCCCCACAUGUAUGUUCCAGGCCUCAGACACGCGUGUCCUGGGCCCCACACGUCUGUUCCGGCCUCGGUCACGCGUGUCCCGUGUCCCCUCACACGCGUGUCCCGUGUUCCCUCUGUCUGUCCCAGCCCCUCCCCCCCAAUAAACACGUGUCACGGGCCCCA
rnacentral:lncRNA from 1 species